UACGGGGGGGUGCGAGCGUUGUCCGGAAUCACUGGGCGUAAAGGGCGCGUAGGUGGUUUGAUAAGGGUGUGGUGAAAGUCCGGAGCUCAACUCCGGAUCUGCCGUGCCGACUGUCAAACUCGAGGGCUGUAGAGGCAGACGGAAUUCCGGGUGUAGCGGUGGAAUGCGUAGAGAUCCGGAGGAAGACCGGUGGCGAAGGCGGUCUGCUGGGCAGUAACUGACGCUGAGGAGCGAAAGCGUGGGGAGCGAACAGG
rnacentral:rRNA from 1 species